rnacentral:rRNA from 1 species
GAGGCCCAGUUUUCUUGCAGACAUUGUGCCGGUCUGUUUUGGUAUGAAGAGCGUCUACGCAGAGAAAGACAUACUUCAAAUCCAACAUAUAAUUUAUGUUGCAAAGGAGGAAAAGUUUCCCUGCAACCAUAUAAGCCUCCUCCUCAACCCCUAUUGGAUUUACUGACUUCACAGAAUCGCACACUGUCAAGCCACUUCUUUCAUCAUAUUCGUCAGUACAAUACCAUGUUUGCAAUGACUUCAAUGGGAGCUAAAAUUAAUGAGUCCAUAAAUGAUGGUCUGGGCCCCUACGUGUUCAAGAUUAGUGGCCAAGUCUGCCACCGUGUUGGUUCUUUGAGACCAGAACCUGGCAAGAGGCCAGAAUAUGCUUAGUUAUACAUGGUUGAUACAGAGCAUGAGGUAUCAAGCCGAAUAAAUGUUGCUUCAUCUUCACGCACUGCUACAUCUACACGCACUGCUUCAUCUACACGCAAUUCAUUCCAAGCUAAUGAAGGCAUUGUCCAGUCCCUCAUACAAAUGUUGAACACGCAUAAUCCCAUUGUCAAGCUGUUUAGGAUGGCAAGUCAAAGAUUAAAUGGGAAUGAUUCUGACCAUUUAUCAGUCAGAAUAUGUGGAAAACCUGAUGCCCAUGGCGAUAUAUAUAGUGCUCCAGUAGCGUCCGAGGUUGUUGGAUUGGUCAUUGGUGAUAUAGGGUCAUCUCAAGUAGGCCGAGACAUUAUAAUUGAAAAUCAUUCAUCGCAGUUGCAACGCAUGGAUGAAAAACACUGCAAAUUUAAGUCCAUGCAGUAUCCUCUGUUAUUUCCAUAUGGCGAGGAUGGCUAUCAUGAUGAACUUAUGUACCGUUCAGCAUCACACACAACUACUGGACGUCAGAAAGUCACAAUGCUAGAAUAUUAUGCAUAUAGGUUACAUGAUAGGCCAAAUGACUUCAACACUCCAUUAUGAUGCAAAAGAUUAACACAAGCUUACUUUGUGGACGACUAUUGCUGUGUUGAAACAUUCUGUAUUGGAUUCUUCCGGAAGCCUAGCUUUCAGCGUAAGUAUAGAUCAUCACCAUUCAGUUGUUUGGCAAAUUCUGUGUCAAGCGGUAUUACAACCGGUUCUGCUGUUGGCCAAAGGAUAAUACUACCUUCCUCAUUUACUGGAGGCCCUCGCUACUUAUACCAGAACUACCAAGACUCUAUCGCUAUCUGUAGAAAAUAUGGCUGCCCAGAUCUAUUUGUCACCUUCACAUCAAAUGCUGCCUGGCCUGAGAUUACAGAGGCUUUAUCAUCCAUUCCUGGACAAGAACCAUCUGACCGUCCAGAUAUUGUCAACCGGGUAUUGAAAAUGAAACUUAAUAUCCUGAUGGAUGAUAUUAAAAAGAAAGAGUUGUUUGGACCAAUAAAUGCAGGUAAUAAGAGUUCCCUUAAACUUAUAUUCCCUUCACACAACAUACUAUUUUGUCAAUUAUUUAACAUAUUUUAA